rnacentral:misc_RNA from 1 species
CUGGGAGAGCGCGUGCUUUGCAAGCAUGAGGUCGUCGGUUCGAUCCCGUCUGGCUCCACCAGAUGGUUUGAUCGCCGAGAUCUUGCACCGUCGUCCGCGAAACAUCACUUCGCAUCCUGCUAGUCUGGAUAGACAGCAAGAUGCGUGUUUUCUGACAUCGUAAAGAGGAGAUCGAUCCGAGUUGGGUCGUGCAGCAGAUUGUUGCGCGAAUCCUUCAUUAUCUCCGGAUCAUUUUCGGCGCUCGCUUUCAGCCGUGAGGUUGAAUGCGAGUUGUAAAAUGAUCCUUUUAGCGAAGCUUGACCGCCUCGCUAUCGGAACGAUCUUACGAAGCAAGCUGGUCUUUCUAGUCAAUGUCCGGCUGCAGAUAGCGUUCGUCGAGGGCGCGUGCCGCAAGGCAAUUCUGCAGACAACAUUCUGCCGAGUGUGUGGACAUUGAUAAUGAGAGCAAUCAAGUGCCUUAAGGGUGUUCGGUGGAUGCCUUGGCGCUGAGAGGCGAUGAAGGACGUGCUACGCUGCGAUAAGCCGUGGGGAGCUGCGAAGAAGCUUUGAUCCGCGGAUUUCCGAAUGGG